rnacentral:rRNA from 1 species
UGAUUAAGCGACUAAGCGUACACGGUGGAUGCCCUGGCAGUCAGAGGCGAUGAAGGGCGUGCUAAUCUGCGAUAAGCGCCGGUAAGGUGAUAUGAACCGUUAUAACCGGCGAUACCCGAAUGGGGAAACCCAGUGUGACUCGUCACACUAUCAUUAACUGAAUCCAUAGGUUAAUGAGGCGAACCGGGGGAACUGAAACAUCUAAGUACCCCGAGGAAAAGAAAUCAACC